GUGCUUGCUUUGGCAGCACAUACACUAAAACUAGAGCGAUACAGAGAAGAUAAGCAUGGCCCCUGUACAAGAAUGAUACAUACAUUCAUAAUUAAAGGAGAGGUUAG
ensembl:snRNA U6 U6 spliceosomal RNA